rnacentral:rRNA from 1 species
AUUGAACGCUGGCGGCAGGCUUAACACAUGCAAGUAGAGCGAGCGGCGGACGGGUGAGUAAUGUCUGGGAAACUGCCUGAUGGAGGGGGAUAACUACUGGAAACGGUAGCUAAUACCGCAUACAAUCAGAUGUGCCCAGAGGGGAUUAGCUAGUAGGUGGGGUAAUGGCUCACCUAGGAGACGAUCCCUAGCUGGUCUGCGAGGAUGACGCCCCACACUGGAACUGUGACACGGUCCAGACUCCUCCGUGCGGCAGCAGUGGGGAAUAUUGCACAAUGGGCGCAAGCCUGAUGCAGCCAUGCCGCGUGUGUGAAGAAGGCCUUCGGGUUGUAAAGCACUUUCAGCGAGGAGGCGUUACUCGCAGAAGAAGCACCGGCUAACUCCGUGCCAGCAGCCGCGGUAAUAG